AAAAGGGUGGUAAUGCCGGAUGCUCCGACUCCUCGCAUGGGGUGUCGGGAAAGAUUUCAUCGGUAUGGGAUGGGGUCGCGUCCUAUCAGGUAGUCGGCGGGGUAACGGCCCACCGAGCCUACGACGGGUAGCCGGCCUGAGAGGGCGACCGGCCACAUUGGGACUGAGAUACGGCCCAGACUCCUACGGGAGGCAGCAGUGGGGAAUAUUGCACAAUGGGCGCAAGCCUGAUGCAGCGACGCCGCGUGCGGGAUGACGGCCUUCGGGUUGUAAACCGCUUUUGAUCGGGAGCAAGCCUUCGGGUGAGUGUACCUUUCGAAUAAGCACCGGCUAACUACGUGCCAGCAGCCGCGGUAAUACGUAGGGUGCAAGCGUUAUCCGGAAUUAUUGGGCGUAAAGGGCUCGUAGGCGGUUCGUCGCGUCCGGUGUGAAAGUCCAUCGCUUAACGGUGGAUCUGCGCCGGGUACGGGCGGGCUGGAGUGCGGUAGGGGAGACUGGAAUUCCCGGUGUAACGGUGGAAUGUGUAGAUAUCGAAAAAGAACACC
rnacentral:rRNA from 1 species